GACGAACGCUGGCGGCGUGGAUUAGGCAUGCAAGUCGAACGGUAGGAUACCUUCGGGUAUCUGAGAGUGGCGAACGGGUGAGUAACACGUAGGUGAUCUACCCUCAAGAUUGGGACAACCCAGGGAAACUUGGGCUAAUACCGGAUGAAAGCAGCAGUGAUGUUGUUUGAAAGGUGGCGUAAGCUGCCGUUUGGGGAUGAGCCUGCGCUCUAUUAGUUAGUUGGCGGGGUAAAGGCCCACCAAGGCGAUGAUAGAUAGGCGGCCUUAACGGGUGGUCGCCCACACUGGGAUUGAGAUACGGCCCAGACUCCUACGGGAGGCAGCAGUCGAGAAUAGUCUACAAUGGCCGAAAGGCUGAUAGUGCGACGCCGCGUGAACGAAGAAGCCCUUCGGGGUGUAAAGUUCUUUUAUAUGUGAGCAGUGCUUUCUAUGUGAACAGCAUGGGGAGAGAGAUAUUAGCAUAUGAAUAAAGCAACCGGGCUAAACUCCGU
rnacentral:rRNA from 1 species